rnacentral:rRNA from 1 species
GUCUUGAUGAAAAUUCAAGAUGAUGCCUGCCCAGUGGGGAGAAAUUUAAAAAUAAUAAAAUUAUUUUAACCUCUCUAAACGGAUGCGGUAACUCUGACUGUAAUAAAGUAGCAUAAUUAAUUGUCAUUUAAUUGGUGGAGAGAAUGAAUGGCUAAACGAACGCUUCAUUGUCUUGGGAGGAAGUUUUUGAAAUUAGAGUAAUAGUGAAGAUCCUAUUACAAACCGUUAGACGAAAAGACCCUAUAGAGCUUGACUAUAAAUCUGGGGAAAUUCUGAUUUGGUAGUUUAGUUGGGGCGACUAUCUUUUAAAUAGAACAAAGAUAAGCAUGAGAAUGGUAUAUUUUAUUGUCUAAUUAAUAUUUUUAACAAUUACUAAAGUAGGCUAUACUGACCCAUUAAGUAAAAUAAAUAGACUUAAUGAUUAAUAAAUAAAAGCUACCUUAGGGAUAACAGGAUAAUUUUGUUUUAGAGAUCUAAUCAAAUACAAAGUUUGUCACCUCUAUGUUGAAUUAAGAUAACCAAAUAAUGCAGAAGUUAUUUAAGGUAGGUCUGUUCGACCUUUAAAAUCUUA